UAUAUACUCCCUCCGUCCGGAAAUACUUGUCAUUGAAAUGGAUGUAUCUAGAUGUAUUUUAGUUCUAGAUACAUCCAUUUUCAUCCAUUUUGAUGACAAGUAUUUCCGGACGGAGGGAGUAUAUG
rnacentral:pre_miRNA from 1 species